UAUACUCCUGAUGCCUCACCAAGGUGCUAAUGCUUGUUUUUCUCCUCCUCCCUCCCUCUGCAAUCAUUUGUUUUUGAUUAAAAACAGCACGCCGAACAUCGAAGAGAGCUCAUCCCAGCAAACGGGCAGAGGGGAGGGCAUGAAGAUGUACAACAGUCCCAGGUGUGAAUAGAGUACGCAGGCCCCCGAGGACCCACCGUUUUUUAUUUUCCUGAAGGUAUGGUUGGAAUUGCACAUGAAGACACAGACUCAAUCCAUGUGUAAUGCUGGCUCCAGGGAUCAACCACUUCCAUCUGAAGUGUAAUGCUGGCUCCAGGGAUCAACCACUGUGCGGCCUCCCUAGCGCAUCAGCAUGACAACCGUCUGGACUGAGCUAAGUAGGGUACUUCUCUGGGGUCUUCAAGUGGGCAUCUUCCUUCCAUCCUUGGUGUUUCGUCAACUAGCCCACAACACCUUAAGAGGGCUCGACAGUGAUUCUGGCAUCCCAGUAUCACCGCCCUCCAUCCCCCACUAGGUUAAGCCCAGCUUCCUUUCUACGAUUCUUGAGGUCCCCAACCAGAAUCUUUUCGUCUCAACCAGAGAAAGUUGCUGCUCCUCUCUGCGGCUUCAAAUAAGUUCUUCACUAUGCGUCGCAACUGUUGACCACUCAAUCUGAUGUCUCUGAGAAACCAGGUUGUGGAGUAUGCCACAAAUCCUCGACAACCCACCUCCACUGAGUAAACCUGAACUCUCCAUCAUUGCUGUUCCGCUUCAGCAGCCAGUUGAGCAUACCGAAGUUUCUUCUUUUCAUAUGCCUCAUCCACAGCAUCCUCCCAUGGCACUGUUAACUCUGCCAGAUGAACAAAGCAUGCUGAUCCAGACCACAAGACAAUAUCAGGUCGAAGGUUAGUGGUGGCAAUCUAAGGUGGGAAAAUAAGCCAUUGUCCAACAUCUGCCAGCAUUUUCCAGUCUCUAGCAGCUUCCAGUUCCAAACCUCUCGCUUCCAAAUUUAUCCAGCUUCUUUUUGAGUGUUCCACCUAACCUAAUGCAAAACAGAGAUCUGUGUUUACUGUGUCCCACACUGUUUUCUCAGAAGCUCUUGGCAUUUAACUCCAGGCUUGUGCCCGUUGAGGUUCUUUUCCCUCUUACGCUGGUUCAUCUGACCGGGUUCACAAAGAUCAUUAGGUUCAUCACUAGUUGUGUUUAUGCAAGCCCUCCUCCCAUCUAUGACAGCAGUGCUGAGAUCCUGUGAACUGUGGUUUGCUUCCUGUCGCUGGAUUUCAUUUGGACUUGACUGACUUUGUAAAAAGUACUGAUCAAUGCAAAGCCUUUGUAACUUCUCCCUCAAGCAUUUCAUUAUCCCUUGGUGAAUCAAAAUACACCGAACUACAGCAGAGGAUGCAUCAGUUUAAAUAUUUGAAAUGUCUCUGUGUGUGGAAAAAGUAAAAAUGGAGAAACAAAACCGGCUAACCGUAAGAUUGCAUGAGGUAAUAUGUAUAGAAAAACAUUAACCAGUACUGUGAGAAUUGUCUCCAGACCUUGAUUACAACCCUGUAAACAUUAUUUAUUUUCACUUGCUGUACAAGUGUGAUGUUCGAAAAAAUAUCUAUUUUUAUAAUAUUGUUUUUUCACAGAACGU